UACUCUGAAACAGAGUGAAUAAAAAUAAACAUGUAAUCUAAAAAAUUGUUAUGAGCCUAAAUGAAACAUAUAUAUAAAAAGAACCAUUUGACAGAUGUGUUUGCUUGUUACAUUGUAAUUAUGCUAGAGCUUAAUGAGCUACUGGGAUUUUUUUCAGUACGUGCUCACUGACUGCUAUGAAACUGCUCUGCUUUUUAGUAGUAGAUGUUGAGCAAUUGUUGAAGCUGGUACUUCAGUCCUACAGUGAGAUCCUGCUCCAACUGAAAUUGACGAUAAAGCUCACAACUAUGGGACAGGAUUUCAUCCUUUGUGUCAAAAUGGUGCACUUGACAUGUUAGCAACUGCUAGUAGAGAUAAUAUUAAGUUAUAAUUACCUGCAGUUAUAGCCAGUCAUUCAGAACUUGCCCCUUUAACUAACACUUAUGUCACUUUAUGUGUUCCACAGAAAUCAAUUUGAUUUAGGAGCUUUUCAGUAAACUGUCUCUUCUGGUAUGUACAUAACAGAUCAUUAUGGAAAAAACAGCCACAAUAUUAACUUCUUUCCUGGGCCUUUCGCCACCGAUGUUACAGUGCCAUGUGUAAAUGUUAUGGGAAGAGGAAGAGUUCCAGAGCUCCAGCCUGACAAACAACCAAAACUCACACAGUCUAUAAAAGACACGCACAGUGGUGUACAGCUGAAACAUCACAGUUCUACAAAAGAGCCAGAUUGAAACUAAGUAGACAAGCAACAACAAAAAGUCUGCGAAAGAGGAAUCUCUGUAAAGAUCAGCAUCGCCUCAAGACAAACUCCUAGGUGGUGAAAACACUAAUCCAAGUCUCAAACUAAUGUUAAUAAUCACAAUGUACACAGCUCUCCUUAAAUAAAGUAAUAACUCUGACAAA